rnacentral:rRNA from 1 species
AUACUCGCGAAACUGCGAAUGGCUCAUUAAAUCAGUUAUCGUUUAUUUGAUAAUACCUUACUACUUGGAUAACCGUGGUAAUUCUAGAGCUAAUACAUGCUAAAAAUCCCGACUUCGGAAGGGAUGUAUUUAUUAGAUUAAAAACCAAUGCCCUCUGGGCUCACUGGUGAUUCAUAAUAACUUCUCGAAUCGCAUGGCCUUGCGCCGGCGAUGGUUCAUUCAAAUUUCUGCCCUAUCAACUUUCGACGGCUGGGUCUUGGCCAGCCAUGGUGACAACGGGUAACGGAGGGUUAGGGCUCGACCCCGGAGAAGGAGCCUGAGAAACGGCUACUACAUCCAAGGAAGGCAGCAGGCGCGCAAAUUACCCAAUCCCGACUCGGGGAGGUAGUGACAAUACAUACUGAUACAGGGCUCUUUUGGGUCUUGUAAUUGGAAUGAGUACAAUUUAAAUCUCUUAACGAGGAACAAUUGGAGGGCAAGUCUGGUGCCAGCAGCCGCGGUAAUUCCAGCUCCAAUAGCGUAUAUUAAAGUUGUUGCGGUUAAAAAGCUCGUAGUUGAACCUUGGGCCUGGCUGGCCGGUCCGCCUCACCGCGUGCACUGGUUCGGUCGGGCCUUUCCCUCUGGGGAACCGCAUGCCCUUCACUGGGCGUGUCGGGGAACCAGGACUUUUACUUUGAAAAAAUUAGAGUGUUCAAAGCAGGCCUAUGCUCGAAUACAUUAGCAUGGAAUAAUAGAAUAGGACGUGCGGUUCUAUUUUGUUGGUUUCUAGGACCGCCGUAAUGAUUAAUAGGGACAGUCGGGGGCAUCAGUAUUCAAUUGUCAGAGGUGAAAUUCUUGGAUUUAUUGAAGACUAACUACUGCGAAAGCAUUUGCCAAGGAUGUUUUCAUUAAUCAGGAACGAAAGUUAGGGGAUCGAAGACGAUCAGAUACCGUCGUAGUCUUAACCAUAAACUAUGCGAACUAGGGAUCGGACGAUGUUAUUUUUUGACUCGUUCGGCACCUUACACGAAAG